rnacentral:lncRNA from 1 species
AUGUCAAAACGUGGUUCUAGGGGAAAAAAAGUUCCAUUGCUGAAGCUUUUCUCAUAUGCUGACUUCUAUGAUUAUGUCUUAAUGGCCGUUGGAUCUGUUGGAGCAUGCAUACAUGGUGCAUCUGUGCCUGUUUUCUUUAUCUUCUUUGGAAAGAUUAUUAAUGUUAUUGGUUUGGCUUAUCUUUUUCCUAAAGAAGCUUCUCAUCAAGUUGCAGAGUCUCAUUUAAUGUCGUUGAAGAAAGAAUUUGCAAAGUUGCCUAUUGUUGUUCUAGAAAAUUAG